GAUGAACGCUGGCGGCGUGCCUAAUACAUGCAAGUCGAGCGAACGGACGAGAAUCUUGCUUCUCUUAUGUUAUCGGCGGACGGGUGAGUAACACGUGUAUAACCUACCUAUAUUACUUGGAUAACUUCGUGAAACCUGAUCUAAUACCGGAUAAUAUUUUGAACCGCAUGGUUCAAUAGUUAAAUACGUUCUUUCUGUCUCUUAUAGAUGGAUCCGCGCUGCAUUAGCUAGUUGGUAAGGUAACGGCUUACCAAGGCAACGAUUCAUAGCCGACCUGAGAGGGGGAUAGGACAGACUGGAAGUGAGACAGGGAGCAGAAGACGACGGGAGGCAGCAGGAGGGAAUAUUACGAAAUGGGCGAAAGCAUGACGGAGAAAAGCCGAGUGAGUGAUGAAGGUCUAAGGAUCGUAAAAAUAUGUUAGUAGGGAAGAAAAGAUGUGUAAGUAAAUGUGCACAGAGUGACGGUAACUAAUAAGAAAGCAACGGCUAACUACGUG
rnacentral:rRNA from 1 species